UGAAGAAGGUGGAAGAUGAAACAUCUUGUGCAUUAUAUUUCUGUUUGUUAUUUCCCUCUCUCUCUCCCCCCGACCCUCGUUGAGGAUAUGGACAGAACAAAUGCUGCUUCUUGAAUUUCCUUGGAGUUGGGAGCAAUGAAAUGGGAAGGACUCAGGGACAAGGUUGGGAACGUCAAUGAAGGAAGCCCCUGGAUGAAAUGGAUAGGAUACACCCUCUCCAAGAAAAAAGUCAGGACAGCUGGCAUUGCAGCUCCAUCUACCACAAAACAAGGAAGCAAGAAAGGCUGUCAGUCACAGAUGGCUUAAUUAGUCCUCAGAGUAUGCCACCAAAAGAGUCUUCUUAGUUGCCGUGAUGUUGCCCAGGUGGCCCAACAAGCUGGCGAUCCCACGACCAACGUAGGUCUGCGUUGCCUGCUGCCAGCUCUCCUGCUCCUCACUGCCAUUCUGUCUCACAAAGGGCAAGUUCCCUCGUCCUUUGUCUCCAGCCUGCCCACUCCUUGCCGCUACUGACAACGCACAGCUGCUUCUAUGUGCCAAAGUCUCAAUCCCACUAUUUAGUCUUCGCGCUAUUUGUAUCCCUUUUCCUCCUCUCUCUCUCUUAAACUGUCCUCCCCUCCUUAA